GGAAGUAGAAGUCGUAACAAGGUUUCCGUAGGUGAACCUGCGGAAGGAUCAUUAUUGUAUAACCGAGAUGCGAGGGCUGUCGCUGACCCGAAAGGUCGUGCACGCCCGAGUGCCCUCACACACAUCCAUCUCACCCCUAUGUGCACCACCGCGUGGGUCCCCCUUUGGCUUGUUCGGAGGGGGGCUUACGUUUUCACACAAACUUUGUAUGCAGUGUAGAAUGUAUUUUUUGUUUUUGCGAUCACGCAAUCAAUACAACUUUCAACAACGGAUCUCUUGGCUCUC
rnacentral:misc_RNA from 1 species